rnacentral:tRNA from 1 species
GCCGGCUUAGCUCAGUGGUAGAGCAGCUGAUUUGUAAUCAGCAGGUCAGGAGUUCGAGCCUCCUAGCCGGCU